AAAGAUUCUUGUGAUUUGUUAUUUAUUUAUUUAUUUAAGAAUCUGUAACAUCUCUGUUGCUUGCUGCAGGCCUUUGAAAUUCAGGAGAGGGAAGAGAAGGCCCUUUUCUUCAUCCCAUGAAAUUCCAUUCAAGUUUGACUGAGAUAUCAACUGCAGGCCAAUCUCCCGCCAACCACCCUCACUGCGGACACAGCACUUGGCACCAGCUGCCCAUUCGGGAUAGCGGCUUUGUGAUAAUGCCAGCUAACGUGCUUAGUCCUGUAGCUCAAGUGUUAGAUGUCUGUUCUGGGGCUGAAGGCUCAUGGUUCAAACUCUGCUGUUGGUUCACAAUGGAGGGGCACACAGGUAGAAUCUCAAAGAUAUGAACACCAGAGUUACCGACCAGUCAACUGGACACCAUGUGAAACCGGAAGUAACCAAUCAGGCAGCAGCCGACACAAAAAAGAAGCGAAUACUGUACUGUGCCUGUAUUGCAUCUUAAAGGUGGCGCCAUUACUCAAGAAGAAACACUGGAGGCAACAGAAUGUUUUCCCGCAAUACGGCCCUCUCCUCUGAUGGGUUUUCAUUAGAUAUCUACACACAGUUUCAGAACUUUCUUCUCUAGUAAAAUGUCUUUUUAAUAGCAUUCCUGAUUCCAGAUUAUUUGUUAGUAAUGAUGUCAUCUGCUCUCUCUCAAAAAAGGGAGACUAUUAUAGCUCAUAUAAGCCUUUUACCCCCUUUAAACUAAUCAUAUCAAAAUCUUGGCAAAGGUUUCAGUUUCCAGACUCAAGAUUCUUCUGCCGGAAGUUGUAAAUAAAGACCAAAUUGACUUUAUUGAAAAAGAGAAAAAUCUUGCUAACAAUAAAAGACCAUGAAAUGUUUUCCAUUCUACCUGAUCAGAGAAAUCUGCUAGUAGCCUUCUCGCUCUCAUUAACUCCAGACUGUGCUGUAUCAUUAUUACCAACAUUUGUGAUAGCCUUAGAACAAUGACUUGAAUUACCCAGGCUUUCUCCCUGAGUGCACGUGUUUCCAGUUCAGCUGCACCAUAGAA